rnacentral:miRNA from 1 species
AUAAAGCUAGAUUAUCAAUGGUU